rnacentral:rRNA from 1 species
CGCAACGUAGACUUAUAGAGUUAUAAAAAACUCCCAAACCCAUGUGAACUUACCUUUUGUUGCCUCGGCAGGGCCCUAUUGAGGUCGUCCGGCCUCGGUGGGCGGCCUGCCGGUGGACUACCAAACUCUUGUUAUUAUUGUGGAACUCUGAGUUAAACAAACUUAAUAAGUUAAAACUUUCAACAACGGAUCUCUUGGUUCUGGCAUCGAUGAAGAACGCAGCGAAAUGCGAUAAGUAAUGUGAAUUGCAGAAUUCAGUGAAUCAUCGAAUCUUUGAACGCACAUUGCGCCUAUUAGUAUUCUAGUAGGCAUGCCUGUUCGAGCGUCAUUUCAACCCUCAAGCCCUAGUUGCUUGGUGUUGGGAGCUUGCCGUGAAACGCAACUCCUCAAAGCUAGCUGGCAGAGUUAGGAUAUACUCUAAGCGUAGUAAACUUUUAAUAGUCUCGCUUCUGCGGUUGUCCUGGCCUUCUCGCCAUUAAAGCCCCAAAUUUUUCUAUGGUUGACCUCGGAUCAGGUAGGAAUACCCGCUGAACUUAAGCAUAUCAAAA